AGCAGUGCAUUACUGAGAAGGGUAGCAGUCACUUUGUACUAUGAGUAACUGCAACAUCUCUCGGUAUUGUAAGGUUC
rnacentral:pre_miRNA from 1 species